CGGGGCGUGGCUCAGUCUGGUAGAGCACAUGGUUUGGGACCAUGGGGUCGGAGGUUCGAAUCCUCUCGCCCCGACCA
rnacentral:tRNA from 1 species